UCUGCCCUCCGCGCACCCUGCCCUGCCCGCCCCGCCGCCUUCUUAAGGUGCCCGGCCCCGAGCCCCCCUGUGCACCCUGCAGCCGCGAGGAAAGCCAGGCCCCCUCGACUUUGCUCCUCUUUCCCAUUCUGCAGAUGCUGGCAGGAGGCACGAGGUUCCCGGGUCAGAGUUUACUCACAGAAGAACCAGUAGCCAGAGCUCCAUGUUGGCAUUGGUUCCCCCAGUCCCUGGCUGUGAGGCAGACGGGCCUGGAUGCGGGCAUGCACAUGUGGGGCACGUGUCCCAGGAGGGCACGCUGAGCUGGGGGUCUCGCUGCUUUCACACCAAGUGCUGAUGAACUCAUCGUUUGUGCUCCUUUCUCAAGGUUGCUCCCUGCACCAGCCCCGAGCCUGGAUAAAGCAUGGCAAGGGGCUGGCAUUCUUGGCAUGCCUGGCAGUAACAUUCAGGACACUCGGGGCCGUGGGGGUUUCCUGCUGCCCUCACCUGUGGACCAGCUCUGGCCUGGGCAGACAGCAAACUUCUCCAACAUGGUAUGAACCCCAGGCUUGGGGAGGGUGCCCCUUCUAAGACUGCUCUUCCUUGGUUUUCCUCCUGCAACCAUAGGCUGCCCUUUGGAUUUCUCUGUGUAAUUACUGUCCUGUCCCAGUUUCAUGAUUCUCUAUGUUAAACUUGCCCUGUUUAAAUUACCAUGUGGUUUCUGUCUCUUGCUGGACCCAGACUGAUACAUUAGUCAGCAAGAAAAAUAAAAGGAUUUAUUAUUAUUUUUUUUUGUUACUCGUUUGUUAGUCUAAAAUGAUUUCAAAAGAAAAAUAUUAAAAAUAUACUAUGUGGAAAAUGUAAACAGCAGAAGGGCAAAAUGGAGGAAAACAAUAGUGCUGAUGUCUGAAAUCAGUAGUUAGUUUUGAAUAUAUAAAAUCCUCGAACUGA